AUUGAACGCUGGCGGCAGGCCUAACACAUGCAAGUCGAACGGUAACAGGAAGAAGCUUGCUUCUUUGCUGACGAGUGGCGGACGGGUGAGUAAUGUCUGGGAAACUGCCUGAUGGAGGGGGAUAACUACUGGAAACGGUAGCUAAUACCGCAUAACGUCGCAAGACCAAAGAGGGGGACCUUCGGGCCUCUUGCCAUCGGAUGUGCCCAGAUGGGAUUAGCUAGUAGGUGGGGUAACGGCUCACCUAGGCGACGAUCCCUAGCUGGUCUGAGAGGAUGACCAGCCACACUGGAACUGAGACACGGUCCAGACUCCUACGGGAGGCAGCAGUGGGGAAUAUUGCACAAUGGGCGCAAGCCUGAUGCAGCCAUGCCGCGUGUAUGAAGAAGGCCUGCGGGUUGUAAAGUACUUUCAGCGGGGAGGAAGGGAGUAAAGUUAAUACCUUUGCUCAUUGACGUUACCCGCAGAAGAAGCACCGGCUAACUCCGU
rnacentral:rRNA from 1 species